ACUGGAGCUGGGCGCCAAACUGUAGGGAGGCUAGACACCCAUGGUCACGUAUCUGUUCUAAAAAGGCGUUAAAAACAUGCGAUGACGUCACACACUGUAAUACUGUCAGAGGUACUGCUUUACGGCAGUUUCUAAAGCACUUCCCUUGUCCCGCAACGAUAACACCAGCUGUUGGAGUCGGACCUUGAUGCUGUGACAACGGACAAGUCUUCUUCCUCUGUCCUUUUCCCCUGCCUCUGUUCAUGGGAGAUUGCAAGGCCAGGUGGAAGGGACUGAGGGAUUCAUUUGUCAAGUCCCGGAAAAAAAUGCAUCUUCCAAGUGGGUCUGGGGCAACAAGCCACCGGGACUGGAAAUAUGCAACGCUCAUGCCCGUUAUGCCGAGCAGAAGCACCAUAGGCAAUUUGGAGGCCUCUGAGCCAGGGCAGAACACCCAGGAAGAGGAGGCACAGGAGCAGCAGGAGGAUGCAGCUCGACCUCCCCGGACUGAGAGGAUGGCAGCCCAACGAGGCACUGCAUCCAGCAGCAGACACAGGAGCAGAAGCCCCAACACUGUGGUCAACGACAGGCUCCUGGACUUCAUCACAGUGCCACCACCAACAGUUCGAACAACUGCCU
ensembl:lncRNA